GACGUAGGGCGCAAGCGUUGUCCGGAAUUAUUGGGCGUAAAGAGCUCGUAGGCGGCUUGUUGCGUCGACUGUGAAAACCCGUGGCUCAACCAUGUGGUCUGCAGUCGAUACGGGCAGGCUAGAAUUCGGUAGGGGAGACUGGAAUUCCUGGUGGUAGCGGUGAAAUGCGCAGAUAUCAGGAGGAACACCGGUGGCGAAGGCGGGUCUCUGGGCCGAUAUUGACGCUGAGGAGCGAAAGCGUGGGGAGCGAACGG
rnacentral:rRNA from 1 species